rnacentral:rRNA from 1 species
AUGGACCCGCGUCUGAUUAGCUAGUUGGUAAGGUAACGGCUUACCAAGGCGACGAUCAGUAGCCGACCUGAGAGGGUGAUCGGCCACAUUGGAACUGAGACACGGUCCAAACUCCUACGGGAGGCAGCAGUGGGGAAUAUUGCACAAUGGGCGAAAGCCUGAUGCAGCAACGCCGCGUGAGUGAUGAAGGCCUUCGGGUCGUAAAACUCUGUCCUCAAGGAAGAUAAUGACGGUACUUGAGGAGGAAGCCCCGGCUAACUACGUGCCAGCAGCCGCGGUAAUACGUAGGGGGCUAGCGUUAUCCGGAUUUACUGGGCGUAAAGGGUGCGUAGGCGGUCUUUCAAGUCAGGAGUGAAAGGCUACGGCUCAACCGUAGUAAGCUCUUGAAACUGGGAGACUUGAGUGCAGGAGAGGAGAGUGGAAUUCCUAGUGUAGCGGUGAAAUGCGUAGAUAUUAGGAGGAACACCAGUUGCGAAGGCGGCUCUCUGGACUGUAACUGACGCUGAGGCACGAAAGCGUGGGGAGCAAACAGGAUUAGAUACCCUGGUAGUCCACGCUGUAAACGAUGAGUACUAGGUGUCGGGGGUUACCCCCUUCG